rnacentral:lncRNA from 1 species
UGGCAAUUGAGAAGGCGUAGGAGGAAAUGCUCUCAAGCUGGGCCAGUGGCCAACUGCAGAACGGAGAGUGGCCGAGCAGGGAAGGUCAUAGAAGGCACAGGAUGGGGAAGGACACUGGAGACCAGGUUCCUGUAGGGCGUGUGGGAGGAUUACUCUUCCUGGCCCUGUUUAAGUGAGGUCUGGCCAAGUGAUUUGUCUUCACAAAUGAAAGAAAAGUAAAAAGAACAUGUCACUUCCAGGCAGAAUGUCUGAAAGCCAGUGGACAGUCUGCCUUGAUCCAUUGUCCUGCCUCAGAGGUCAUGGAAAUAUAUGUCAAGACUCAGUCGCUGUCAGCCUGGAUUCCCCAGUGACUACAACACUGCCAACCUCCCUGGGCAUGUAGGGGGAGAGAAAAAUAAGCUUCCAUUGUAUGAAGCUAAGAGAUCCGGAGGGUUAUUUCUUCCUGUAGCACACUCUGACUAAUAGAGUAGCUAGCAGCUAGGAGGUUUUUAAAUAUCUUUAUUUAGCAAAAUGAAAUGGUGCCAAUCUUACGUUGAUAUGAUUUUUUUUUCUUUUGAUAUUUAAUUGCCCCGGGAAGUAUGAUGCCUUGGACAUUCUGACACUGAUAACUGGAGUGUGGGGAGGUGUCCGGUUUAACACGGGUAAUAGUUCUCAGGACAGGGGCCACAAUAUGGGACCCCUCAGCCCCAAUUCAACCAGAGUCACACCUGUUUUAUCUGCAUAAUGAAUAAAUGAACAAGCAUACUGGGGUCUGCACAAGAUUUCACAUCAGGAAAGGGUUUUAUAGCUGAAAAAGAAAAAGUUAAAAGUUGUGCAGCAAAGACUAUGCUAAGCCCUGGGAAUGUGGUAAAGAAUGAGACAGACACAGGCUGCAUAUUGGCUAUGACUUUCAGCUUUGCGGGGCAUGGAGAGGCCGAAAGGGCAGACAAAAGACAAGUCAACUAAUUAAUUAAAUAACUGAAAGUAGAAACACUCUAUGUAGGUAAGAUAUGGGGACUGAAGUAGAGAUUAACAGGAGGUGGCAGGCUGGUAAGAUCUCUUGUCAGAAGGUAGUAUUUUAGUUGCAACCUGGAGGAUGGAAGGGCUACCAGGCAAAAAGGUGUGUAACCUGUUCAAGAGGCUGAAGGCUUGCAUAGCAGGAGGCAGGGCUGAGAAGGAGAGAAGCAGGAAAUAAGUUGGAGGGUCCACAGGAACCUAAUAAGCAGGCCCUCACAAGCCACAAGGAGGUAAGCAAAAGAGAGCAGCAGUGGAUGACGCUGCCUUGCCCAUGUCUACUUAAUAAACACUCAGACUUGAUGCCUUCAAAGCAGAAAUCCUGAUGUCCACUCUCUUGCUCUCCCCGUCUGCCUCUCCUCCUACCUUUCCCAUCUCAUAAAUGGCAGUUUCAUUUUUCAAGUGACUCAGGCCCCAAACCUUGAGAUCCCUUUUGCCUCCAUGCCUAAUCCAUCAGGGAAUCCUACUGGCUCUGCCUCCCAAAUGUACCCUGAAUUGGACCACCUUUCACCACCUCAGGGCUAUUAUCCUUGUCCAAGAUGCUAGCAUCUCUUAUCUGGACUUUUGGAGUAGCCUCUUCACUGGCCAUGCUGCUUCCACUCUUUAUCCUGAAUCCUUUGCUCUACACAACAGUCAAAGAG